rnacentral:rRNA from 1 species
UAAGACGGAGGGCGCUAGCGUUGUUCGGAAUCACUGGGCGUAAAGGGCGCGCAGGCGGCCCGGCGAGUCGGGCGUGAAAGCCCGGGGCUCAACCCCGGAACGGCGUCCGAUACUGCCGGGCUCGAGGCCGGGAGAGGGUGGUGGAAUACCCAGUGUAGAGGUGAAAUUCGUAGAUAUUGGGUGGAACACCGGUGGCGAAAGCGGCCACCUGGCCCGGUCCUGACGCUGAGGCGCGAAAGCGUGGGGAGCAAACAGGAUUAGAUACCCUGGUAGUCCACGCCCUAAACGAUGUGCGCUGGGCGUCGGGGGGCUCGCCCCUCGGUGCCGGAGCUAACGCGGUAAGCGCACCGCCUGGGGAGUACGGCCGCAAGGUUA